AAGACUUUAGUUAAAAAUAUAACAGUAGUCUGUCAGCCUACAAUCACAAUUAAAUGUAAGUCUUA
rnacentral:tRNA from 1 species